CACACAGAAAUGACUGGCCAGUCGGGCUUGUGGUAAAAACCUUUCCCAGUACUGACAAAAAGGUUAGGAAAGUAGAACUAAAAAUUGUCAAGCAAGGAGCUGCUAAGGUGUUUCUGAGACCAAUCUCAGAGAUUGUUGUUCUUCUUUCUGAAGCAUCCUAGAGACAAAAGAUAAAAAUAGAAAGGACAUUAUUUGUUUCUUGAUAUGUUUUAUUUCAUAGUGGCACAAUUUCAUUAUGCCAGGCGGGGAGUGUGCUGCCAUCCUGUUAGAAGGUAACAGAUUAUUUUAUUACAAUGGUUAAAUUGGAUUUUCAUUGUGUUCAAUGGUGUUAUUUGCCCCCUAGUGGCGCUUUCUGGUACUUAGAAAGACGACGCAAACAGGAAGUACAGAAUUAGUUUUGCAUGCAAAGAAGCAGCUACAAACAACGCUACGGUGCAGGUCUUUCGGUUAUUUCUUGUCACGCUUCAGCCUUGGAAAUAUUUGUUUUUUCACAACAUAAACGUUUUCAAUAUAUUCAUUCAAG